rnacentral:rRNA from 1 species
AACACUCCUCUACACAAUUGUCGCAGAAAGCGCGAUAGAGGGGAUCCCAAGUGCUUGCUCGUCCGAGUAAGCUGUUUCUUUGUUUAAAAUGCAAAGAGAGGAAGGGCUGGGUAAGACGGGUGCCAGCCGCCGCGGUAAUACCUGCAGCCCAAGUGGGGACCAUUAUUAUUGGGCCUAAAACGUUCGUAGCCGGCUGAGUAAAUGCUUGGGUAAAUCGGGUAGCUUAACUAUACAAAUUCCGGGUAGACUACUUAGCUUGAGACCGGGAGAAGCUAGAGGUACUCCUGGGGUAGAGGUGAAAUUCUGUAAUCCUGGGGGGACCACCAGUGGCGAAGGCGUCUAGCUAGAACGGGUCUGACGGGGAGGGACGAAACCCUGGGGCGCAAACCGGAUUAGAUACCCGGGUAGUCCAGGGGGCAAACGCUGCUUGCUUGAUGUUAGCUGAGCUCCGAGCUCAGUUAGUGUCGGAGAGAAGUUGUUAAGCAAGCUGCCUGGGAAGUACGAUCGCAAGAUUGAAACUUAAAGGAAUUGGCGGGGGAAAGGGCAAAUUCCCGGCCGCUAAAUUCAAUUCGCCCUAUAGGGGGGUCGUAUUACAAUUCACUGGCCGUCGGUUUUCAAA